AGCUCAUAGAUACAAAGAAUAGAUUUGUGGUUGCCAGAGGUGGAGGGGGGGGUGUUAAAAUGGUGAAGAGUCAAAAGGUAUAUAUUUCUAGUUAUAAAUAAAUCAUAGGGAUGUCAUGUAUAGCAUGGCGACAAUAGUUACUACUGUAUCGGAUAUUUGAAAGUUGCUAAGAAUAGAUCUUAAAAGUUCUCAUCACAAAAAAAAUUCUAUAACUGUGAUAUGUUAACUACUAGUGAUUUACUGUGGUGUUCACGAUAUAUUUUUAAAUGUUAUAUAACAAUGCUUUCUGUUGUCAAUUUUUUUUUUCUUUUAGUUAAGUAAUCCAUUUUAGAUGCCCUAAAGAAGUUUAUAUGACCUUCAAAAAUAAGUUGGAAAAAUACUUCUGAACAGCCACUCCAGAGGGCUGGUCCUGAGAGGAGUUGCGUAUUUGAGGGAGCCCGGGACAGCCUGAAGGCCCGCCUCCUGCACUAGAGCUGCCAGGAGCCGACACUCACCUGUUCUCAAGAUGCUCUGGGCCUUUGCAUUGCCAAGUUUUGCAGCUUGGAUGAGAUGGAGUGCACCCACGGCCUCGUCUUUUGGCACUGACAUCCCUUCUACCAAGAGUAGGUCUUCUGUUCGAGCAGAGGAAACGAAACCAACCAUCAUGCAGCUUUUUUGCUUCCCUUUGCAAGGCCAUUCCAGAGGCAUAGGCUUCAAUACACCCAUGGCUUCCACAGGAACAGUCAGGCCCAUCCAGAGAGACAACAAGGUGGCCAAGUU